rnacentral:rRNA from 1 species
UAACGCGUGAGAAUCUGCCCUUAGGACGGGGACAACAGCUGGAAACGGCUGCUAAUACCCGAUGUGCCGAGAGGUGAAACAUUUAUGGCCUGAGGAUGAGCUCGCGUCUGAUUAGCUAGUUGGUGGGGUAAGAGCCUACCAAGGCGACGAUCAGUAGCUGGUCUGAGAGGAUGAUCAGCCACACUGGGACUGAGACACGGCCCAGACUCCUACGGGAGGCAGCAGUGGGGAAUUUUCCGCAAUGGGCGCAAGCCUGACGGAGCAAGACCGCGUGCGGGAGGACGGCCUAUUGGUUGUAAACCGCUUUUGAUAGGGAAGAAGUACUGACGGUACCUAUCGAAUCAGCAUCGGCUAACUCCGUGCCAGCAGCCGCGGUAAUACGGAGGAUGCAAGCGUUAUCCGGAAUUAUUGGGCGUAAAGCGUCCGUAGGUGGUUGUUCAAGUCUGCUGUUAAAGCGUGCGGCUUAACCGCAUACCAGCAGUGGAAACUGGACGACUAGAGUGCGGUAGGGGUCAGGGGAAUUCCCAGUGUAGCGGUGAAAUGCGUAGAUAUGGGAAGAACACCGGUGGCGAAAGCGCCUGACUGGACCUGCACUGACACUGAGGGACGAAAGCUAGGGGAGCGAACGGGAUUAGAUACCCCUAUUCUUCACGCUUACC